rnacentral:rRNA from 1 species
CCUACGGGUGGCAGCAGUGAGGAAUAUUGGUCAAUGGGCGGAAGCCUGAACCAGCCAAGUCGCGUGCGGGAUGAAGGCCCUACGCGUUGUAAACUGCUUUUGUCCGGGGACAAAAUCCUCCUCGUGAGGAUGUCUGAGGGUACUGUGCGAAAAAGCGCCGGCUAAUUCCGUGCCAGCAGCCGCGGUAAUACGGAGGACGCGAGCGUUAUCCGGAUUUAUUGGGUUUAAAGGGAGCGUAGGCGGGCGGUUAAGUCAGCGGUAAAAGCGCGCGGCUCAACCCCGGCCAGCAGUUGAAACUGGAUGCCUUGAGUUGACGACAGGCAGGCGGAAUGCGUGGUGUAGCGGUGAAAUGCAUAGAUAUCGCGAAGAACCCCGAUUGCGAAGGCAGCCUGCCGGCGGGGGACUGACGCUGAGGCUCGAAGGUGCGGGUAUCGAACAGGAUUAGAUACCCUAGUAGUC